AGCAUUAACAACAAUUACUGGCACACGAAGAAGAAGAAAAGUUACAACAUCAACAAAUACCAAAAAAUAAAAAUAUGGGAAACGGUUACCAUCCGAGACGAGGCUGUCUCUGGAUUCAGGUUUACAGAACAGGGAAAUUGGAUAUUUUGCAGGUUUUCUUGGUUGCUUGUGGGCAGGUUUAUGUAGCAAGGUUAAAAGUGACAAAAGCUCUAGGUAGACAGCAAGUUUUUGUUGGUUUAUGGACAGUAAAAUGAUAGAAGUAGAAUUCCUUGCAUAAUGUAUACGGUAGUUCCAUAACAU